GACGAACGCUGGCGGCGUGCUUAACACAUGCAAGUCGAACGGAAAGGCCCUGCUUUUGUGGGGUGCUCGAGUGGCGAACGGGUGAGUAACACGUGAGUAACCUGCCCUUGACUUUGGGAUAACUUCAGGAAACUGGGGCUAAUACCGGAUAGGAGCUCCUGCUGCAUGGUGGGGGUUGGAAAGUUUCGGCGGUUGGGGAUGGACUCGCGGCUUAUCAGCUUGUUGGUGGGGUAGUGGCUUACCAAGGCUUUGACGGGUAGCCGGCCUGAGAGGGUGACCGGCCACAUUGGGACUGAGAUACGGCCCAGACUCCUACGGGAGGCAGCGGUGGGGAAUAUUGCACAGUGAGCGGGAGCCUGAUGCAGCAACGCCGCGUGCGGGAUGACGGCCUUCGGGUUGUAAACCGCUUUCGCCUGUGACGAAGCGUGAGUGACGGUAAUGGGUAAAGAAGCACCGGCUAACUACGUG
rnacentral:rRNA from 1 species